rnacentral:rRNA from 1 species
AGAUUGAACGCUGGCGGCGUGCCUAACACAUGCAAGUCGAGCGGUAACAGGUGUAGCAAUACAUGCUGACGAGCGGCGAACGGGUGAGUAAUGCUUUGGAAUCUUCCCAGUAGUGGGGAAUAACCAGUCGAAAGAUUGGCUAAUACCGCAUACGUCUGUAAAGGGAAAGCGGGGGCUCGUAAGACCUCGCGCUAUUGGAUGAGCCAAAGUCGGAUUAGCUAGUUGGUGGGGUAAUGGCCUACCAAGGCGACAAUCCGUAGCUGGUCUGAGAGGACGACCAGCCACACCGGAACUGAGACACGGUCCGGACUCCUACGGGAGGCAGCAGUGGGGAAUAUUGGACAAUGGGGGAAACCCUGAUCCAGCGACGCCGCGUGUGUGAAGAAGGCCUGCGGGUUGUAAAGCACUUUUAGUGGGGACAAAAGCUACGGACUAACACUCUGUGGUCUUGAUUUAACCCAAAGAAAAGCACCGGCUAACUCUGUGCCAGCAGCCGCGGUAA